GCUAUGAGUUAAGUAAAAAGGUCGAUGAACAAGGCAUCAGAUAGCCCCUAGAGUUCCCUCAAACACUUCAUUGGAGAUUAUUAUGGGCAUUAUCUUAAUUAUGCCUCUCUCUCUCUACUUUCUACUGAAGUGUUUGGGGGGACCCUUGGAGUCAUUUGAUCGAUAUGUAGCCUACCACAUGUGGAUAAGCUAUAGCUAGCUGCAAUAUUAAACGAGCUAGAUUACUUGUGGAAGGUCAUUACUUUAGCUCUGUUGAUUUUUUUUAUGGGAGUGGAAAAGUGGUUUAGUAUGUUAAACAAAAAUUAAAAGGAUCUCAUAAUUGAGUGUUGUUCA